UACGUAGGGAGCAAGCGUUGUCCGGAAUCAUUGGGCGUAAAGCGCGCGUAGGUGGCCCCAUAAGUCCGCUGUGAAAGUCAAAGGCUCAACCUCUGAAAGCCGGUGGAUACUGUGGGACUAGAGUACGGAAGAGGCGAGUGGAAUUCCUGGUGUAGCGGUGGAAUGCGCAGAUAUCAGGAGGAACACCGGUGGCGAAGGCGGGUCUCUGGGCCGUAACUGACGCUGAGGAGCGAAAGCGUGGGGAGCGAACAGG
rnacentral:rRNA from 1 species